UACGUAGGGGGCGAGCGUUAUCCGGAAUUAUUGGGCGUAAAGAGUGCGUAGGUGGUUUGAUAAGCGUGGGGUGAAAGGCAAUAGCUUAACUAUUGUAAGCCUUGCGAACUGUCAGACUUGAGUGCAGGAGAGGAAAGUGGAAUUCCUAGUGUAGCGGUGAAAUGCGUAGAUAUUAGGAGGAACACCAGUGGCGAAGGCGACUUUCUGGACUGUAACUGACACUGAGGCACGAAAGCGUGGGGAGCAAACAGG
rnacentral:rRNA from 1 species